UGGGGAAUAUUGGGGCAAUGGGCGAAAGCCUGACCCAGCAACGCCGCGUGAAGGAAGAAGGUUUUCGGAUCGUAAACUUCUAUCCUUGGUGAAAAUAAUGAUGGUAGCCAAGAAGGAAGCCCCGGCUAACUACGUGCCAGCAGCCGCGGUAAUACGUAGGGGACAAGCGUUGUCCGGAAUGAUUGGGCGUAAAGGGCGCGUAGGCGGCCAACUAAGUCUGAAGUGAAACUCCUGCUUUUAAGGCAGGAACUGCUUUGGAUACUGGAUGGCUUGAGUGCAGGAGAGGUAAGCGGAAUUCCCGGUGUAGCGGUGAAAUGCGUAGAGAUCGGGAGGAACACCAGUGGCGAAGGCGGCUUACUGGACUGUAACUGACGCUGAGGCGCG
rnacentral:rRNA from 1 species